CCACCGGAAUCGGAGGUGGACACCCUUGGAAAGUCGAAAUUGUGAAACUCGGAUUGCUCGGGAGACGAUAGCGCCGCCGCUGUCUGAAUAUAUCGUAUGGGACAAUUUCUACUUUACGCUCGGGGAAUUCUCGCUUAACGCGUGCGUUUUACAAGUCGUGUUUCAAAGAAAAAAUUAAGACACAAGGAUGAAGAGAGUAGUAACGAGUGAAACGAGAAGGAGCGGAGAAACGGAAUGACGAGAAGAGAGCGAAAUGAUACUUUUGCAAGAAGCGAAAGGCGCGACGUUCAGAGUUGCGAAAAGCGUACUUUCGCUCGCAGACAGCGGACAAGAACGAAAUCGAAAGCGUCGUACGAUUUAAAUAGGCUGGUGGCUAACCUAUACUCUUAACAUUGAUGAUUCCCUCAAAACGCAAAUAUAUCCAAAAUUUUCAUAACCGCUAUAUCAUACGUAACGUGAGGUGAGACGACUCGUAACCUCGAAUUAAUCAACGUUGAAAAUAAACCAAAAUUGCACGUAUGUAUCGGAUUGGCUAAAAAGUAAUUGCGUCUUUUUCUGAUAGAUGGACACACACGUGUAACCAACUUCAUUUGAAACCGCGAACUCAUUGUGUAAUCGGAUACUUGAUCGUUCGAGCUUGUUUGGAAAAGAGAAAUGACGCGAUCUCGUUGACAGUUGUUUGUUUUGGUGUCGGAUUUCAAAAUGCGAAAGCAGAAAAGAAGACGUUCGCAAAAAAUGGUGACAAAGACUCUUGAAACCGUGUGUCAGAAUUGGAAAUUGCCAAAUUUCACUACUGGUAAGGACACAUCGGAUCUUGGAACUUUUUUUUUUUUUACCGAAAAAGACAAGAAAUCUUUUUUGGAACAUGGAAUCACAAAGUUGCAAGUUGAAAGAUGACCAAAGGUAAUCGAACGAAAUGAAGCUUUUGUUUCUCAUUGAAAAUUCGCCUUUUAUUUACACAGGAAGAAACGCAGUUGCCUUCUGGCCAACCUGAUUUGUUCGUUGCUACUUACUUCGAAUUAUCGAUCCACCAUCAGUUUUGAAGAUCGAAGAGUUUCGAAAAGUGUUCGCAGCUUCUAACUCUUUGGCCAUCGCGACGCAAAAAAAAAAAAAAAAAAUGGAAAUGGAAAAAAAAAACAUUGGUUCGAGUGGUUGGUACGUGUAUCGCAGGAUGUGCACGUUCUCCAUACGGAGAAGGAAUUUUCUAUGCUUUGUUUGGCAAAGAGGAAGCUGAAAAGUGAAAAAGAAGCGAAACUAUGCACACGACGAGUACAAGAGAGAGAGAGAGAGAGAACGGAGAGUAAAGCAAAAGACAAAGAGAACGAUGCUAAUCCUCUUUGUAUGGAAAAACCGAGUGGUCCGCCGGAGCAGACUACGAGCCAGAGCAGACUUCGCGAAUAAGCUAUUCAACCGGUGCAAUAUACCGUGCAAAUAUAGCGUAUCCCGUCUAGACGACGUGACUUUUCUAUCCGGACGUAAAAGUUACCUCGUUAUUUCGCGAGAUUCCCAUGGAGGGCAACAUCGAGACGUAGGGGGCAGGGCACGAGCCUAGCAAUUGGACUCUUUCAUCCGAUCGUUUUUUGCUCGUUAGGAAGCGAUGGACAGGGCCAAAGCCAGCAGUUUCACCUCUCUAUCCUCUUCUCGUCGCGACGCAAACGAGUUGAAAUAAAUCCUACUAACCGGACUGUAUCGGACCGUUCCAUACGUUCCGCGAACUGUACCUAAUAACCUAGUUUAAUUAAAAGGACGCAUUGAAAGCACCGGCUCGUGCCCGCGAGUCGAUUUUGUUCCUCCGAUGUCCAAUAAUCGCGACUGAACGGCGAACAACCGCGAGCAACUGGUGCAAACUCGACCUCGAGCGAAUCAAUAACACGCGAGACGUACAAUGCACAUCCUCUGUGAAAGAGCACAUAUUCCACGAUGUUCGUGGCGACACCGUUUGACAGUUCGUUCCGAUCGUAUCGUACAGAGAGCUGUGUAAAACUCGUGUAGCCUUUCCAAGCGACGAAUCAAAUGAAAAAACGAACGAGAGAAAGAGAGAGAAUCGGAUCAGAGUGCCGGGAAACGUUGAACGGUGUAAUUGAAAAUAUCGCGAGAAUUCCAACCGAUGGGCUGCGAGCGAAGAACGUUGCCGAUAAUUACACGAGAGAGAAUUCGAAAACUCGGAUGCUCGGUGAAAAAGCUUCCCGUCGCUCGUACGUCGUAGUUAUGCGAAACAAUACGGAGGCAGACAAUGAAGUAAAGGGCGGACAAUAGAGAGUAAAGCUACGUUAAAGAGAGGAGAGAUAUUGCAGAACCGAAAGUUCCACCGCGAUAAGUUUUAUCAACGACGUAGGCUCGCAAAAUGAAAAAGGUUGUUUCUCUCGCUUUCCGUCUCCGUGGAAAAGAGACGAGACGCAAUAAUCUCGAAGCAGUUGUCACAAGCGAUUUCGGUGCAAAGAUUUUCGAGUAGUCGGAAAUCGUACGGGUCGUCGAGUCACGAAGCAACCAACGGGAGAGAUCGAAUACUUCAACUCGGCAUUAGCUCAUACGGAGCAAGACAACUUUGUCCUUGUUUAGAACGUCUUGCGCAACUUCAAAUCCAAUGACACGAGAGACCAAACAACGUGACGAUCGAUCCUCGUUUCGAUUGAAAAUCUUGCUUUGUUUCGUCUGAUUAUGAGUCGGAAAAGAAAGCAGAGAUUUGAAAAAUUUCGGAGUACAAAGAGGGUAUCGUUUCAAUAAAUAAGCCAUUGGCCGAGCUCACGUGAUUUUCGAAGUGUAAGUAUGUGUACAACAUAAUGAAACAAAACACUUUCCUAUAUAUUAUAUAUAUACAUAAAUUAUAUAAAUUAUAUGUAUGUAAUAUACAAUGUAUAUAUAUCCACCGCACUUCUGGAUAUCAUAUUCAAAUAGUCACACUCCAAAUUUCAGGUGUAACUACUAGCUGAACUGAUAUUUCGAUCUGUUGAAUAUAAAAUUUUUAAUCCUUAUACAAGUAUUUCGCAGGUCAGAUGAAUUACGGGAAGAAUGCUGAGAAUCUACAAACCAAAUUAAAACUGCAAGAAUUAAGCUUAACAAAUUUUUUUUACUAACUUUUUAGCACGAUUCAUGGACACAGAGAUACUAGCGCCAUGUAGCAGUGAGACGGUGGAACCAAUUGCUAUUUUUAUCCUUGUCGCGUAUUACUGCGCUUCUUGUCUAACACACAAUGUACAUCUAUCCUUAUCCGCUAUUGUUCUCCUUGUCUACAAAUGUGGAGGUUUACCCCUUUUAAUUAAUAAAUAUUACGAGUUUUAAUAUCAA